rnacentral:lncRNA from 1 species
CAGAAUAUAAAAGAUCUUACUUCUAAUUUCACCCCAUGAAUAUUUAGCAAAUCCUUAUGUCAGAAAAUAUAAGGGCAGACCGCUUAUCAAAGUUUUCCACUCCUGGAGCCCCACCGAUCUGAAGAGCAGCUCAUACUUAAAACCCUAAAGUGCCCAAGCAUUGAAGAGUUUUUGGUAAUACAUGCAGAUCCUAAGUAGAGCUGGAUAGAUCCAAUUGUCCAAUCCUUACAACAUAGAGUGCUGCCAGU